GAUCACAUGAUCCUGGGACUACUAAUAAGGUCGUAAGUGUGAAAAACCGUCAUAAAUCACUUUUUUCAGGGCUGUAACUUUCAACGGUCACUAAAUGAUCUGUUGUAAAUUGAAGACUACCUGCAAUAUGUGUACUUGAUCCUGCUUCCAAUAGUUUUCCUCUACCUUCCAUUGAAAUUUCUCUAAUCACUUCACAACUCUGAAGUCUAUGCUUCAGAAAGACAGUCAUGACGUUAACUACGUUUGUUCCUGUUUGGGGCAUCAUAUCAAAGUUAGAUAUAUUUAUAAACUCAAAGAGGAUACAAGGACAGCAUUUAAAAUAUGAAAAUAAAUUGGAAUCCUCCCAUUGGAGGAAGAAAAAAAAACUGUGUGAAACAAUAGAUGUUUCGGAAGUAAACCUGCAAACAUGAAAAAAAAUAAAAAUUUGUUCUGUUUCCGUGAAGCAUGUGGUUUAAUAUUUCACUAUAACUGAAGUACAAGUUGUGAAGCUGGGUACUUUGAACCUGGGCUUUAUUUUUUGUUUUUGUUUCUAGUUUAUAAUAUUUGGAAAUUGAAAAAAGAAUAUAUUUGCUACUAGCAAGCUCAUUCCUGAAGAAAGAAGAAACGUCGCCAUUUAUUAGGGCAGCGAAUGCUUCAAAAUUUAUUUAGAAGAGAUUUAAGAACAGAGUCUCUCUCCUGGUCAUUAAAAAUCUCUAACUUUUUUCUCUUCGAGCCUGAAGUCACAUUACCAGUAAUGGUUGUCCUCAACGUAAGACUGAAAUUGAGCCCUGAAUUACAGUGGAAGAGGCCAAAGGCCACCAAAGGAGUCAGCCACCGGGCCGCCCAGACACUGCUAAACCCAGAACAUCUGGAAAAGAUGUUCGGCGCUCUUCUGCUGCAGGAAGAGCGACGUAGAGGACCUUCCUGUGCCUCCUGACAGAACUGACGAGGCACAUGAACAGGCGGACCAGAAGGGAGAAUGGUGGACACAGAUUCGUGUGUCCGAUGGACGCAGGCCUUCCUCCCAAGGGGUAAGGAUGCUUCUGCGACAUGGCCAGUCAGGGCUCAUCCCUCAUAACCGGAUGGGGAAAGGGAGGAAUUCUCACUUGGGGGAACCUGGCCAGCCUAGCAAAAGCAAGAGGAGCCUUUUGGAUUCAUGGAAAGUUCUUGAUGGCUUCCUAUCAGCCAAAUCUUCCAUGAUCUGCUUUGUCUUUCCCUGUUGAAUGCAGUCUUUCCCUCCUGGGGAAGAUAAACGUUCCACAACAUGCAGGGGACUUUUAAUUUAUACUUUCAAUUGUUACUUGCAGGGUUUGAUGGGUGUUCGUGCCACCGCCCGGAGCCCCAGGAAGGAAGAGGUGAUGCCAGUUCUCAUUUCAGUGAGAAAUGAGAAGAUAGCGAAGUGGAGGCCGCGGCUCUCAACCAUCUGGGAGACCUGCACUGAGUCGGAUCCUUCGGAAGAAUACCGACCAAGAGAGGUGCAGGAGGAAAGCAGUGCCUGCCUAUCAAGAGAGGAAAAGGAAGAGCACUGGAGGCCGCGACUCCCCCCCAGAUCAGAGACCUGCAGAGAAUCGGACGAAGAAGACCAGCCGGCGGAGGAGCAGCUCUCUCCUACUGGGGAGAAGACGCAUACUUCGGAGGAUUCGAUGGAAGUCCUGGUGGGCUCCCGGAACAACAGCCUGGAGGAUUUUGACUCCAUUUCUGCCCUCUUGGAUGAGGAGUCUGAGGGAAGCUGGGAGCAGGCUGCAGAGGCUUCGGAGGCCAGCCUUUCGUCCAGUCCGUGGGAUUCUCCCGAAGAAGGGGAAGCCUCGCUGGACAAUGUCAGCAGCCUGGAGGAGGACUCCCUGGACCUCAGUCUCUAAUUAAAAGAGACGCUUCCCCAGAUGCCUCUCCAGAAGGCAGAUCGGAGGAGGAUGAACCAGUCCCAGGCACAUCAGGAGACGGAUGGCGGAAUCAGCCCCAGCGGCGAAGCCCUGCGAGGAGCCACUUUCCAACGAGGAAGUUCCUGCGUCUUGUUAAUGUUAUUGUUGUAAUUCUUUUUGUUGUACCUGUUGUUGUUGUGCAUCUUCUUGUUUUUGUUCUUGUUGUUUGAGAAUAAAACUAAAAAAUUCUUUAUAUCUGCUAAUUUAGUUUAAACCUAGUUUCAUUACACUUUUGUUAGGAAUAACAAACUUUUCAUUAAAUGCAGAAUUUCAGCAAACUUCUUUGUCUGUUUUCUCGUAUUUUUUCCACCGUUCUAUGGGAUACAGUGAUUAGUAUUCACUUACAAUAUUAAUGGAAACCUGACACUUCCAGAGGUUCCUCAGCUACGCGCAAGUAGUCCUCAACUUACCA